rnacentral:lncRNA from 1 species
GACCCCUGGCUCAUCAGUGCGUGAUCUCACACACACACACACACACACACACACACACACAAACAGGCAAACACACAGUCUCAGGCAGCUGAACAUUAAUCACAGAAAAAGAGUUCAAUAAAAGGCCCAUCGGUUACGAAAUCACUUAUUGCUCAUUAAAACACAACACACGCUCAAACUCUGUUACAUACCAUAUAAACACAACGAGAAGAACCACUCUCUCCCUCAACGGACACGCACAGCCCAACAUCCUCCAUCGUGACCCCGUUCAUUAGUCACACACCACCCUCCCUGUGGCUACAGCUGUAGUUACACAAACACAACAAAGUUGGAAUAAUCAUUAAUCCUCACCGUCGGUGGAGCGUGAACUGCGGUGGAUUAUCACCUCCCUCUCCUUACUGAGUGUGUGUGUGUGUGUGUGUGUGUGUGUGUGUGUGUGUGUGUGUGUGUGUGUGUGUGUGUGUGUGUGUGGUACCUCUGAAUGUGUUUGCUUUACAUGAGCGCUGGUGCAAGGGGUCGCUCUUCUAUCACUCAUUGAACUGUAUCCCGCAGGCCUUCACCUGGCAUUGACCUUCAGACAGGGAACCUUAUCAAUAUCCACGAGUUCUGUCUGUGUGUGUGUGCGUGUGUGUGUGUGUGUCUGUGCCCCGCUGCUUUGGUGCAUUAGCAAUCCCAGGCGUCUCCUGGAAUUCAGACUUACAUCCGUACACCUGACUCCGUGCAGGAAGCUCAGUCACAGUGUCCACUUCUCCACCCUGGAUGUGGACCCCUGUCCAGCACUUCCUACCUGUGAUCCCACAUCAGCUGGUGCUGCAAGAAACAGAAGUCUGUUGGAUCCUGGGAAUAUGAACAGUUGUGAAAGGACCACAAGAGGGCAGAUGAAACUGGACUCAGAGGCCCUAUAACAACACGAGGGUAUGUCUACAGGUAAGUUUUUACCAUGGUGAGCAAACGCAGCUGGAAACUCCGCCCCCGUCACCCGCUGCCAGUGUUCUGUUCCCACUGUCCAAGGUCUGUUUUGAGCUCCUCCGUGUGCUUCUUGUUUCCAGGCUGAUAAACUUGGAAGAAGCAGCCGAUGUGUUUACGUCACACCGCUGGCAGCUGGAAGGAGGGAAGUUUCAGGACUCCCAGGUGACUCGGUGAGAAGAAGAGCGUGGGCACCGAGAGAUCACAGUGGUGCCGGGA